GUCUUUUAAUUGAAGUCUGGAAUGAAUGGUUGGAUGAAAAAUUUACUUUCUUUAUUUUAUAAAAAAAAAUUAUUUUUUAAGUUAAAAAUCUUAAAUAUUUUUAUAGGACGAGAAGACCCUAUAGAACUUUAUUAUUAAAAUAUAAUUUUUAUUUUGUUUAUAAUUAUUUUUAAUAUUAAAAAUAAUUUGGUUGGGGUGACAAAAAAAAUUUAAUAACUUUUUUUAUUUUUUUCAUUUUUAUAUGAAUUAUUGAUCCUUUUUUAGGGAAAAAAGAUUAAGUUACCUUAGGGAUAACAGCGUUAUUAUUUUAGAGAGUUCUUAUUGAUAAAAUAGUUUGCGACCUCGAUGUUGGAUUAAAAUAAGUUUCAGGAGUAUAAGAUUGAAUACUAGGUCUGUUCGACCUUUAAAUUUUUACA
rnacentral:rRNA from 1 species